rnacentral:lncRNA from 1 species
UUCGGUCUGGAAAGACAGCGGAAACGACUAAAAUUUUUUUUUUUUUUGAAACACCUGACCCCAGAGUAUGUCAGAUCCACCACAAUUACAGGGAAUCCACUGUUCACACGGACAGAGUUUCCCCUGUAUUUGCACGGCGUCGCACAAGUACAGAUACACAAUCAGAGUACAACCAGAAUACAACCACAACCAUAUGAACACACAAUCACAACUGCACAUGCAGACGUUCAUACAUUCACCAUUCACAACGCGACAGUAUUCCAAGUUUUAAACAUAAAUCCAGAACUAUCAUUUAAAAUGUUUCCCACACAAAAACUUUUAUCUUUUAAAACGCUACCACGAGGGGUAGAAAACCAUCGAAAACUGUAUUGAAUAUGAAAAUCCUUUUUCUUUUUAAAACAAGCGCUACCACGAGGGGUAGAAAACCAUUUUACUUGAAAAGCUCAUAAAUCUCUUUUUAUUACGAAAACCCAGCAGAAAACUGAAUAUUCAAGUACCGAAUGAAACUGAACCAAAAUGAAAGUUUACUAUUUAUUCAA